rnacentral:rRNA from 1 species
UAAAAGCUCUUUUAUCCGGGACGAUUAAUGACGGUACCGGAGGAAUAAGCCCCGGCUAACUUCUUGCCAGCAGCCGCGGUAAUACGAAGGGGGCUAGCGUUGCUCGGAAUCACUGGGCGUAAAGGNAGCGUAGGCGGCGUUUUAAGUCGGGGGUGAAAGCCUGUGGCUCAACCACAGAAUGGCCUUCGAUACUGGGACGCUUGAGUAUGGUAGAGGUUGGCGGAACUGCGAGUGUAGAGGUGAAAUUCGUAGAUAUUCGCAAGAACACCGGUGGCGAAGGCGGCCAANUGGACCAUUACUGACGCUGAGGCGCGAAAGCGUGGGGAGCAAACAGGAUUAGAUACCCUGGUAGUCCACGCUGUAAACGAUGA